ACUUUGGUCAUAUUCGGUCCAUUCAGUCCACUGUGGUUUUCAUAUAAGCUUGUGUGAUAGAAGCGUUACAAUAGGUUUACCAAAAUGCCACUGAUGGAGCUGUAACGACCAAACAAAUCUCGCGGUAAUGACUCUUUCUGUAACCGAUUCCGAGUCAACACUACCUCCUCUCUCUGUAAACGCAAUUGAAUGACAAUGACAACAGCGAAGAAGAAGAAGUUGAUGUCAUCGGCGGCAUGGAGGGGCGAAGAGGAAGCCACAGAAGAGUUCCAAGACGACAACGAUUGAUGAUUCCCUUGUCGAGGACUUGCUGUAUCCAAUGCCCUUUGUCUUCUGCAAAAGACAGCACUUUUUUCUGUCCACAAUAGAGAGACCACUUAAUGAGUUUCGGCUUCUAACCCACUAGCAUAAAUGAGGGAGAGACCAUUAUAGUGUUAGAAGACCAUUAUAGGUUGCAUCUUCUAGGGUGGAUUUCCUGCAAGUGUAUAUUGCCAAAAUGGCCCAUCAUCAGCAAAGAGUGAGACCAGGUUUACUGAUGAGACUGUCAGUCGUUAUCAUGUUCUGGAAGUCUUUCUUCAACGAGUAAUCGGUAUUGACACCAUCGUGAAACCUCUUCCACCUGCCAUGGCCUACAAUGUUUCCCGUAACUUGAACUUCUUCACACGCAUUUUCACUCAGUUCUUUGCAUUGCAGAUCCAGAAGGUAUUGCAAAUGCCCAGAAAUCGCUUGGGAUAGGACAGGAAGAGAAAGCUCGUCGUGUUCGCUAAAAAAGAAAGAUAAAAGAAAAAAGGCAGUCACUAAUGAACUUUCCUAUCAUGCUUGUGUGUAAUUGAAUUCUCUACCACUAUAUAUGUUGCGUCUAGCCCUGGUUGAAACCAAUGUUGCAGAGUAGAAAUUCAUUAUUAUAUGCCCGAAAA